CAUGCAAGUCGAGCGAACGGACGAGAAGCUUGCUUCUCUGAUGUUAGCGGCGGACGGGUGAGUAACACGUGGAUAACCUACCUAUAAGACUGGGAUAACUUCGGGAAACCGGAGCUAAUACCGGAUAAUAUUUUGAACCGCAUGGUUCAAAAGUGAAAGACGGUCUUGCUGUCACUUAUAGAUGGAUCCGCGCUGCAUUAGCUA
rnacentral:rRNA from 1 species